GAUGAACGCUGGCGGCGUGCCUAACACAUGCAAGUCGAACGAAGCACCUUACCUGAUUCUUCGGAUGAAAGUUUGGUGACUGAGUGGCGGACGGGUGAGUAACGCGUGGGUAACCUGCCCUGUACAGGGGGAUAACAGCUGGAAACGGCUGCUAAUACCGCAUAAGCGCACGAGGAGACAUCUCCUUGUGUGAAAAACUCCGGUGGUACAGGAUGAGCCCGCGUCUGAUUAGCUGGUUGGCAGGGUAACGGCCUACCAAGGCAACGAUCAGUUGCCGGUCUGAGAGGAUGAACGGCCACAUUGGACCUGAGACACGGUCCAAACUCCUACGGGAGGCAGCAGUGGGGAAUAUUGCACAAUGGGGGAAACCCUGAUGCAGCAACGCCGCGUGAGUGAAGAAGUAUUUCGGUAUGUAAAGCUCUAUCAGCAGGGAAGAUAAUGACGGUACCUGACUAAGAAGCUCCGGCUAAAUACGUG
rnacentral:rRNA from 1 species